rnacentral:rRNA from 1 species
AACGAACGCUGGCGGCAUGCCUAACACAUGCAAGUCGAACGAGAACUUCGGGUGUUGUGUCGCACGGGUGCGUAACGCGUGGGAACCGUCCCUUAUGGUCGGAAUAACUCCCCGAAAGGGGUGCUAAUACCGGAUAAUGUCUUCUGACGAAAGACUUAUCGCCUUGGGUGGGUCCCGCGUUGGAGUAGCUAGUUGUUAGGGUAAAAGCUGACCAAGGCGACGAUCCAUAGCUGGUCUGAGAGGAUGAUCAGCCACACUGGGACUGAGCAACGGCCCAGACUCCUCCGGGAGGCAGCAGUGGGUAAUAUUGGAAAACGGGCGAAAGCAUGAUCCAGCAAUGCCGCGUGAGUGCUGAAGGCAUUAGGGUUGUAAAGCUCUUUUACCCGGGAUGAUAAUGACAGUACCGGGAGAAUAAGCUACGGCUAACUACGUG